rnacentral:tRNA from 1 species
AAAGAGAGGGAUUCGAC